CCUACGGGAGGCAGCAGUGGGGAAUAUUGCACAAUGGGGGAAACCCUGAUGCAGCGACGCCGCGUGAGUGAAGAAGUAUUUCGGUACGUAAAGCUCUAUCAGCAGGGAAGAAAAUGACGGUACCUGACUAAGAAGCCCCGGCUAACUACGUGCCAGCAGCCGCGGUAAUACGUAGGGGGCAAGCGUGAUCCGGAUUUACUGGGUGUAAAGGGAGCGUAGACGGCAGCGCAAGUCUGGAGUGAAAUCCCAUGGCUUAACCAUGGAACUGCUUUGGAAACUGUGCAGCUAGAGUGCAGGAGAGGUAAGCGGAAUUCCUAGUGUAGCGGUGAAAUGCGUAGAUAUUAGGAGGAACACCAGUGGCGAAGGCGGCUUACUGGACUGUAACUGACGUUGAGGCUCGAAAGCGUGGGGAGCAAACAGGAUUAGAUACCCCGGUAGUC
rnacentral:rRNA from 1 species